CUUCUGUUUUUGCCUUUAGUCCCCAGUAAAAAUUGCUCUACCCACUCUUGACCAGCCUUGCAUUUGGCCUGUUUUGGGGUGGUGGCUGUAUUUUAGAUAUCUUCCUUCCAGAAAGCUUAAUUGUUUCUUAUUUAUCCUGAGUAAAGGACAAUUAUUACCUGUUACCAGCUUCCCUGAGGUUUCACCCAAUGCCUCAGUACAACAUCAUUAUUUUAUUUUAUUUUUUUUUGCCUUAUAAAUAUUCAACAACAUUUGAGUCCAAGGCAAUGUAUUAUUCUGGUCUUUCUACCUACCAAAAACAGGAUAUCAUCCCCAUUCUUUAAGUAUGCCCACAGCCUUGGACCUGGGGACUUGACCUAACGACACAGCAUCUCAUCUCAGCCUGACACCCCAGAGUCACUGAUGUGAAUGGCUUGCCUUGUUGGAUGGUUGAAGAACUUCUCUUGGGCAUUUUUGCGCUAUGAAGCAAACAGCCACCAUCAGAUCACCAGUUCGCUGCUUCAGCUCCAACUGCCAUAUAUCUGUCAUAAAUACUGCUGGAAUUUUUGAAUUAUUCCCAGAUGAUAUUCAGCAUUUGUAAGAGUAACUGCAUGCUUCUUUAAAGCACUGUACUUUUGUUCUCUCAAAGGUGACAGUUUCUCAAAGGAAAACAUAUUACAGAUUGUUCAGUGUCUGUACAAAUGAGGAGAAGAAAUGGGUUUUGGGUGACUGUAAAAUUAGUUUUGCUUCUGAAGCCAAGUAAAAUAUAAAUCAGAAGGACCUGAGUUUCUUCGGGAAUGACUAAAUAUCUUACUCAGUUUCUACACAAAGAUAUGAGAGAAGUGGACAAAUUAAAGGAACAUUAAAAUCAAACGCAUGGACCAGAUAUACCGAGCUUGAAUGCAAUACUGAUUUUACCUAAGCCUUGCUUUAGACUACAAUCAGACCUUCUGUCUCUAUAAAUGACUUAGACAAAAAGUGCAUAUGUGUAUCUCAUCGCAGGGCACUUUUGAGAAUAAACCACUUGGCAUUAUGUUCA
rnacentral:lncRNA from 1 species